GACGAACGCUGGCGGCGUGCUUAACACAUGCAAGUCGAACGGAAAGGCCCUGCUUUUGUGGGGUGCUCGAGUGGCGAACGGGUGAGUAACACGUGAGUAACCUGCCCUUGACUUUGGGAUAACUUCAGGAAACUGGGGCUAAUACCGGAUAGGAGCUCCUGCUGCAUGGUGGGGGUUGGAAAGUUUCGCUGGUUGGGGAUGGACUCGCGGCUUAUCAGCUUGUUGGUGGGGUAGUGGCUUACCAAGGCUUUGACGGGUAGCCGGCCUGAGAGGGGCACCGGCCACAUUAGGACUGAGAUACGGCCCGGACUCCUACGGGAGGCAACGGUGGGGAAUGUUACACAAGGGGCGGAAGGCUGAUGCAGCAACGCCGCGUGCGGGAUGACAGCCUUCGGGUUGUAAACCGCUUUCGCCUGUGACGAAGCGUGAGUGACGGUAAUGGGUAAAGAAGCACCGGCUAACUACGUG
rnacentral:rRNA from 1 species